GAUGGACAUGGCCAACCAGCUUUGUUAUACAUUGUUCCAUUCACCCUGGGCACAUUUUUGACACUGGGAAAGCAAAGAAGGGAUCUUAAGGUUCUUUGGACAAGAGGAGAACCAGAAAGGCCUUGUCCACACAUCCAACUCCAACACUCCUCUCAACAUUAAAACAACAGUAAGUAACUUUGCAUCAUAACCAACACCUGUUGUAAUAUCAC
rnacentral:misc_RNA from 1 species